UGGGGAAUAUUGGACAAUGGGCGAAAGCCUGAUCCAGCCAUGCCGCGUGUGUGAAGAAGGUCUUCGGAUUGUAAAGCACUUUAAGUUGGGAGGAAGGGUUGUAGAUUAAUACUCUGCAAUUUUGACGUUACCGACAGAAUAAGCACCGGCUAACUCUGUGCCAGCAGCCGCGGUAAUACAGAGGGUGCAAGCGUUAAUCGGAAUUACUGGGCGUAAAGCGCGCGUAGGUGGUUUGUUAAGUUGGAUGUGAAAUCCCCGGGCUCAACCUGGGAACUGCAUCCAAAACUGGCAAGCUAGAGUAUGGUAGAGGGUGGUGGAAUUUCCUGUGUAGCGGUGAAAUGCGUAGAUAUAGGAAGGAACACCAGUGGCGAAGGCGACCACCUGGACUGAUACUGACACUGAGGUGCGAAAGCGUGGGGAGCAAACA
rnacentral:rRNA from 1 species